UACGUAGGGGGCAAGUGUUGUCCGGAUUUAUUGGGCGUAAAGCGCGUGUAGGCGGUUAUCCAAGUCGGGUGUGAAAGCCUUGAGCUCAACUCAAGAAAUGCAUUCGGUACUGGGUGACUAGAGGACCGGAGAGGAUAGUGGAAUUCCCAGUGUAGUGGUGAAAUACGUAGAGAUUGGGAAGAACACCAGUGGCGAAGCGGCUAUCUGGACGGUUUCUGACGCUAAGACGCGAAAGCGUGGGGAGCA
rnacentral:rRNA from 1 species